rnacentral:rRNA from 1 species
GUGUAAAGGCACAAGGGAGCUUGACUGCGAGACCUACAAGUCGAGCAGGGACGAAAGUCGGGCUUAGUGAUCCGGUGGUUCCGCAUGGAAGGGCCAUCGCUCAACGGAUAAAAGCUACCCCGGGGAUAACAGGCUUAUCUCCCCCAAGAGUCCACAUCGACGGGGAGGUUUGGCACCUCGAUGUCGGCUCAUCGCAUCCUGGGGCUGUAGUCGGUCCCAAGGGUUGGGCUGUUCGCCCAUUAAAGCGGUACGCGAGCUGGGUUCAGAACGUCGUGAGACAGUUCGGUCCCUAUCCGUCGCGGGCGCAGGAAAUUUGAGAGGAGCUGUCCUUAGUACGAGAGGACCGGGAUGGACGCACCGCUGGUGUACCAGUUGUUCUGCCAAGGGCAUCGCUGGGUAGCUAUGUGCGGACGGGAUAAGUGCUGAAAGCAUCUAAGCAUGAAGCCCCCCUCAAGAUGAGAUUUCCCAUUCCGCAAGGAAGUAAGAUCCCUGAAAGAUGAUCAGGUUGAUAGGUCUGAGGUGGAAGCGUGGUGACACGUGGAGCUGACAGAUACUAAUAGAUC